rnacentral:rRNA from 1 species
CGGCGAGCGAACGGGGAGGAGCCCAGAGCCUGAAUCAGUGUGUGUGUUAGUGGAAGCGUCUGGAAAGGCGCGCGAUACAGGGUGACAGCCCCGUACACAAAAAUGCACAUGCUGUGAGCUCGAUGAGUAGGGCGGGACACGUGGUAUCCUGUCUGAAUAUGGGGGGACCAUCCUCCAAGGCUAAAUACUCCUGACUGACCGAUAGUGAACCAGUACCGUGAGGGAAAGGCGAAAAGAACCCCGGCGAGGGGAGUGAAAAAGAACCUGAAACCGUGUACGUACAAGCAGUGGGAGCACAGAGCAAUCUGUGUGACUGCGUACCUUUUGUAUAAUGGGUCAGCGACUUAUAUUCUGUAGCAAGGUUAACCGAAUAGGGGAGCCGAAGGGAAACCGAGUCUUAACUGGGCGUUAAGUUGCAGGGUAUAGACCCGAAACCCGGUGAUCUAGCCAUGGGCAGGUUGAAGGUUGGGUAACACUAACUGGAGGACCGAACCGACUAAUGUUGAAAAAUUAGCGGAUGACUUGUGGCUGGGGGUGAAAGGCCAAUCAAACCGGGAGAUAGCUGGUUCUCCCCGAAAGCUAUUUAGGUAGCGCCUCGUGAAUUCAUCUCCGGGGGUAGAGCACUGUUUCGGCAAGGGGGUCAUCCCGACUUACCAACCCGAUGCAAACUGCGAAUACCGGAGAAUGUUAUCACGGGAGACACACGGCGGGUGCUAACGUCCGUCGUGAAGAGGGAAACAACCCAGACCGCCAGCUAAGGUCCCAAAGUCAUGGUUAAGUGGGAAACGAUGUGGGAAGGCCCAGACAGCCAGGAUGUUGGCUUAGAAGCAGCCAUCAUUUAAAGAAAGCGUAAUAGCUCACUGGUCGAGUCGGCCUGCGCGGAAGAUGUAACGGGGCUAAACCAUG